GGUACCGGGAGUUCCGAGAGGAGGAGGAGGAGAAGGAGGAGGAGGAGGAGGAGGAGGAGCGGGAGGAGCGGAGAGAUCCCCGAGGCGGCGGGCGCGGGGUUUUUCCCGGUGCUCUCCCGGUCCGGUCCCGGUUCUCACGCUCCCCUCCCGGUCCCAUCCCGGUGUUUUUCCCGCUCCUCUCCCUGUCCCAUCCCGGUGUUUUUCCCGCUCCUCUCCCGGUCCCAUCCCGGUGUUUUUACCUGUGUUCUCCCGGUCUGCUCCCGCUCCUCACGGCUUCUCCCCCGAUCCCAUCCCGGUCCUCUCCCGGUGCUUUCCUCCCGGUGCUCCCGCGAUCCGGUCCCGGUUCUCCCUCGGUCCGAUCCCGGUCUUAUCCCGGUCCUCUCCCGGUCCUAUCCCGGUGUUCUCACGGCUCCUCCCACUCCUCCCCCGGUCCGCUCCCGCUCCCAUCCCGGUGUUGUCCCCGCUCCUUCCCCUCCCGCAGCCGCCGGGAUGAAGACGGAGGAGGCUCCGUCCUGUCUCCAGCAGGCGACGGCCGUCCUGGGAUUCGGGCAGUAUCCCGACCCCCUGGAUAAAUCCUUUGGAAUCACAGCGUAUCCCAAACCUCUGGAAAACCCUCUGGAGCCGCGGUUUAUCCCGAUCCUUGGCUGAUUCUGGGGCUUGAGAUCCUCCCCAUCCCACCCCAAACGUGCAGUUCCCGUUUGGAAUAAUUCGGGAUAACACCGGGAUGUGGCCCCCGAGCUGCCUCCCCCCCUCUAAUCCUUGCCGGAAUUUCGGGAUCCUCUCCACGUCCCUUUUCCCACUUUCCAUGGUUUUUUCCCCUCUUCAUUACCACUAUUUACGGGUCCGAACCGCCGCGUUUUCCCAAUUCCCGGUAUUUUCAGGAAUUUUUUUAGGGCGGAAUCUCCUUUACUUUCAGUUUUACCUCUCUCUCCCGGGCGAGUUUUCCCGGGAUUUUUCCCAUCCCCGUUUCCCCG